rnacentral:rRNA from 1 species
GGACGCUUCCGGGGGUUUCGGCCUCUGGGGGAGUGGCGGACGGGUGAGUAGCGCGUGGGAACCUGCCUUGGAGUGGGGAAUAACCUAGGGAAACCUGGGCUAAUACCGCAUAACGUCUUCGGACCAAAGGAGUAAUUCGCUGGAAGAGGGGGUCGCGGCCGAUUAGCUAGUUGGUGGGGUAACGGCCCACCAAGGCAAUGAUCGGUAGCCGGCCUGAGAGGGCGCACGGCCACACUGGAACUGAAACACGGUCCAGACUCCUACGGGAGGCAGCAGUGGGGAAUUUUGCGCAAUGGGGGAAACCCUGACGCAGCAACGCCGCGUGGAGGAUGAAGCCCCUUGGGGUGUAAACUCCUUUCGAUCGGGACGAUAAUGACGGUACCGGAUGAAGAAGCACCGGCUAACUCUGUG